UACAGAGGGUGCAAGCGUUGUUCGGAAUUACUGGGCGUAAAGCGCACGUAGGCGGCUUUCUAAGUCGGGGGUGAAAUCCUGGAGCUCAACUCCAGAACUGCCUUCGAUACUGGAGAGCUUGAGUCCGGGAGAGGUGAGUGGAACUGCGAGUGUAGAGGUGAAAUUCGUAGAUAUUCGCAAGAACACCAGUGGCGAAGGCGGCUCACUGGCCCGGUACUGACGCUGAGGUGCGAAAGCGUGGGGAGCAAACAGG
rnacentral:rRNA from 1 species